GACGAACGCUGGCGGCGUGCUUAACACAUGCAAGUCGAACGGAAAGGCCCUGCUUUUGUGGGGUGCUCGAGUGGCGAACGGGUGGGUAACACGUGAGUAACCUGCCCUUGACUUUGGGAUAACUUCAGGAAACUGGGGCUAAUACCGGAUAGGAGCUCCUGCUGCAUGGUGGGGGUUGGAAAGUUUCGGCGGUUGGGGAUGGACUCGCGGCUUAUCAGCUUGUUGGUGGGGUAGUGGCUUACCAAGGCUUUGACGGGUAGCCGGCCUGAGAGGGUGACCGGCCACCUUGGGACUGCGAUACGGCCCAGACUCCUACGGGCGGCAGCAGUGGGGAAUAUUGCACAAUGGGCGGAAGCCUGAUGCAGCAACGCCGCGUGCGGGAUGACGGCCUUCGGGUUGUAAACCGCUUUCGCCUGUGACGAAGCGUGAGUGACGGUAAUGGGUAAAGAAGCACCGGCUAACUACGUG
rnacentral:rRNA from 1 species